AGUGAACGCUGGCGGUAGGCCUAACACAUGCAAGUCGAACGGCAGCACAGUAAGAGCCUGCUCUUACGGGUGGCGAGUGGCGGACGGGUGAGGAAUACAUCGGAAUCUACUUUUUCGUGGGGGAUAACGUAGGGAAACUUACGCUAAUACCGCAUACGACCUACGGGUGAAAGCAGGGGAUCUUCGGACCUUGCGCGAUUGAAUGAGCCGAUGUCGGAUUAGCUAGUUGGCGGGGUAAAGGCCCACCAAGGCGACGAUCCGUAGCUGGUCUGAGAGGAUGAUAGGCCACACUGGAACUGAGACACGGUCCAGACUCCUACGGGAGGCAGCAGUGGGGAAUAUUGGACAAUGGGCGCAAGCAUGAUCCAGCCAUACCGCGUGGGUGAAGAAGGCCUUCGGGUUGUAAAGCCCUUUUGUUGGGAAAGAAAAGCAGCAGGUUAAUACCCCGCUGUUCUGACGGUACCCAAAGAAUAAGCACCGGCUAACUUCGUG
rnacentral:rRNA from 1 species